GCCCUAUCAGGGUCGCACCUAGAGGGUUUCCAGUAUUCUCCAGUCUCGGCUACGGGAGGGAGAGUCAAGCAGAAGCCUACCCAUUCCAUUCCUAGCUUGGCCAGUGGCUAGCGAAUGGAAGGCAAUCUGCCACAAGU